rnacentral:misc_RNA from 1 species
CCGCGGUUUGGUUGCCUACUUUCAGGCGGGACGGUUUUUUGGCGGCAGUUCUCACGGCGAUGGGGUUGCGAUAACACGCGUUGGUUCCGGGGCUUGGCAGAACACAGUGCUCUCACUAGGAUUUUCUUGUUCUGUGCUGUGCAGUACAGUGCGUUCCGGUCAGGUGGAAACGGCUCAGGGGGUGGACGGCGCAAACCGGAUGUUUCCCGACAAAUCCUGCCGCCGGAGGUCCAAGUGCUGAAUGAGUGGUGAUUUGUGUGAGGGCUUUUUUGUCUAGUGUGUCACAUACCAGUGGACAAACACACACACAUACGUACACAAAUACGCUCAAAAGGAUUUGAAAUAGAAAAAAAGUGUGCUCUAAAAGAGGAUCCUCUUUUGGGAGGGUGAAAAGCAGUUUGGUGAAGAGUGUGGUGUGGUGGAGACCAGUUGGUGGUGAUGACCAUUAUGAUGACACACACAUGCGGAAGGACGACUUUCAAUGAGUGCCACCUUUUUGUGUAGCGAUUUGUGCUAAUCCUGGGGUGCACACAUACACACACACACACACACACACACCUAGGGGUUCACACAAAAGUGUAAAUGAAGUGGAGGCGUUGUGGCUGAAUUCCGGUACCCGCAGAUGACCCACAGGAGAAGCAAUUGGGCUCUGUCAUAAAUAAAUAAAGCGGAUUUCCCCCCAGUGCAAACGACUCAUCAGUCGUGGAAUGUUUUGAGGAUUUGAAGCUUCGUAGGAAAGAAGCUUUUCACAUGGUCGAAAACAAGCACGUGGGCGAGUGAGUGAAUCAAAUUUGGUUGAGUUCGAUUCAACUAUGUACGUACAAGCAAUUGGAAAAUCCGGAUUAUUUUAAGUGUAAAAUUGUCGCAUAACGUGUCUGUUGAAGUGUUAAGUUGUGUAAAAAAUAAUGGAGAAAAUUUUGUUGGUGCUGCUGAAAAUUUUGUGUAAAUACAAAUGAUGAUACAAUUGUUAUGAAUUGAAAUUUGAUGACAUAAAAUAAACGUACCGUGACAAUCUACAGUGUUAACGGAGGAUUUAUCUGAUAAUUGGAUGUUAAUUUAGUGAUAACAUUUAAUAAGAAGAACGUCCCCCAGCCGGAAGUGGUGCGCCCCCUCCCGGGCGGAAAAUGCUGCGCCAUCAUCAGCGUCUUCAUCGGAGAAGAGCCGACAUUACCAUAACAGUGAUUUAUUCGAUCGCUCGAUGGCCGGUGAAAACUGGCAACACUGCGGUGCUAGCUGCCCCAGCGGUCGUCGGCGACUAAUGGCCCAAGUGAUUAGCCGUAAUUGGGAGCAAAAUUGAGCGGAGUGUGUCUGCAGAGGGGUUAUGUUUGGGUUUUAAGCACGGGGAGAGAAGAAGGGAAGGAGAAGGAGUCCCGAGGGUCAUCCCCAAUGAUGACUACGAAUGCAACUGAUUACUACUGGGAACUGUCGCAACUGAUUAGGCUUAGCAACUUUAGCUACUACAAUGUGUCGGCUGGUGAAACGUCGGUGACGUUGGACGUGGUCAACUGCUGCACCACCGAACCGAACUUCUCGCGGUACCUGGAAGCCUUGCCCAACGACCGGGCUGGGCUGUUGGCGUUUUUGUUCCUGUUUUCGUUUGCGACCGUGUUUGGCAACUCGCUGGUCAUCCUGGCCGUUAUCCGGGAGCGGUACCUGCACACGGCUACCAACUACUUCGUGACCAGCCUGGCCGUGGCCGACUGCCUGGUGGGACUGGUGGUGAUGCCGUUUUCCGCCCUGUACGAAGUGCUGGACAACACGUGGUUCUUUGGCGAGGACUGGUGCGACAUCUGGCGGUCACUGGACGUACUGUUCAGUACGGCGUCCAUCUUGAAUCUGUGCGUCAUUUCGCUGGAUCGAUACUGGGCCAUCACGGACCCGUUUUCGUACCCGAUGAAGAUGACCCGGCGGAAGGCCGCGGCUCUCAUCGCAGCCGUCUGGAUCUGUUCCAGCGCCAUCAGCUUCCCGGCAAUCGUUUGGUGGCGGGCCGCCCGGGAAGGCGACAUGCCAGCGUUCAAGUGCACGUUUACCGAACACCUCGGCUACCUGGUGUUCUCUUCCACCAUAUCGUUCUAUCUUCCACUGCUGGUGAUGGUGUUCACCUACUGCCGGAUCUACCGGGCGGCGGCCAUCCAAACCCGUUCGCUCAAACUCGGCACCAAGCAGGUCCUCAUGGCGUCCGGUGAGCUCCAGCUAACCCUGCGGAUACACCGCGGUGGAACGACCCGGGAACGGCCAAACCACCACCGAGAACCACCCCAGCACCACCUUCAGCCAUCCAACCAGCAGGACCACCAGCAGCACACGGCAAACUCCACUCCGGAAGAACCGGACGAGGAACCGCUGUCCGCACUGCAAAACAACGGACUCGGUGGACCCCGUCAUCGAACCCACAUGGGCAAGAACUUUUCGCUGUCGCGGAAGUUGGCCAAAUUCGCCAAGGAAAAGAAGGCGGCCAAAACGCUCGGCAUCGUGAUGGGGGUCUUUAUCGUGUGUUGGCUGCCGUUCUUCGUGGUGAACCUGCUGUCCGGGUUCUGUAUACAGUGCAUUGCCCACGAGGAGAUUGUUUCGGCGGUCGUGACGUGGCUCGGGUGGAUCAACUCCAGCAUGAACCCGGUCAUCUACGCGUGCUGGAGCAGGGACUUUCGGAGGGCCUUCGUGCGGAUACUGUGCGUUUGCUGUCCCCGGAAGAUCCGGCGAAAAUAUCAGCCCACAAUGCGAUCGAAAGCAUCUCAGAGAUUUGCCUCCAGACGGUGCUACUCGACGUGUUCCCUGCACGGAAUCCAGCAGGUGCGCCAGAACUCGUGCGAGCAGACGUACAUUUAGUCUGCGGCGCGGCGUGGGUGCUCCCAGGGUCGCCGGAACCGCCCCCGGCGCCCCAGCAGCACCGGUUCUCCGCCGCAGCAGCCGCACUCUACGUCCGUUCCGGUUCCCGUCGUGGCCCUUCCCGGACUGCUCGUGGCCGUCGCCGUCGGGACGUCCCAGCGGAGCCGGCAGCAGUUUCCACCCGAAGAACCGCUGUAGCCGGUGUACGUGUGACUUUGUGGCCGGAGGCCACGUGGUUCGACGGUUCAAUUUUUUGAGGGCUAGUACGAUCAUCCCCCGCAUCUGGCAGGAGUGGCGCUGCAGUUUCACAAAACGCAACGGGAGCAAGAGAGAGAGAGAGCGAGUUGAGUGAACAGGGCGUGCUAAGCCGAUAAGAAAACUUAAUUUUAAAUCCAAAAG